GACGUAGGGCGCGAGCGUUGUCCGGAUUUAUUGGGCGUAAAGAGCUCGUAGGUGGUUCGGUAAGUCAGGUGUGAAACCUCCAGGCUCAACCUGGAGACGCCACUUGAUACUGCUGUGACUGGAGUCCGGUAGGGGAGCGUGGAAUUCCUGGUGUAGCGGUGAAAUGCGUAGAUAUCUGGAGGAACACCGGUGGCGAAGGCGGCAUCCUGGACCGACACUGACGCUGAGGAGCGAAAGCCAGGGGAGCAAACGGG
rnacentral:rRNA from 1 species